GACGAACGCUGGCGGCGUGCUUAACACAUGCAAGUCGAACGCUGAAGCCCAGCUUUUGUUGGGUGGACGAGUGGCGAACGGGUGAGUAACACGUGAGUAACCUGCCCCCUUCUUUGGGAUAACGCCCGGAAACGGGUGCUAAUACUGGAUAUUCACUGGUCUUCGCAUGGGGGUUGGUGGAAAGGGUUUUUCUGGUGGGGGAUGGGGUCGCGGCUUAUCAGCUUGUUGGUGGGGUGAUGGCCCACCAAGGCUUUGACGGGUAGCCGGCCUGAGAGGGGGACCGAGCACGUUGGGGCUGAGAUAGGGCCUGGACUCCUACGGGGGGCAGCAGGGGAGAAUAUAGCGCAGAGGGCGGAAGCCUGAUGCAGCGACGCCGCGUGAGGGGUGGCGGCCGUCGGGUUGUGAACCUCUUUCGCUCAUGGUCAAGCCGCAACAAUGGUUGUGGUGAGGGUAGUGGGUAAAGAAGCGCCGGCUAACUACGUG
rnacentral:rRNA from 1 species